UCCGAACUGUUGUAAUGAGGAGUUGGAAAUUUUUGAGAUAAGAUAACUAAAGUUGGUAAUAGUUUAUGGUUACACAAAAGCAGUUUUAACUCUUUUCGAUAGGAUUAUUUUUUUUUUUUAAAUUGCUUCAAUUUGUUUUACUAUCAUACGUUAGUAUUCUGCACAACCAAAUUGGUUCAUCUUUAAAGUGGGAUACAGUUUAUCUUCUUUGGAGAUCUACAUUUUAGCCAUCACCAACUAUAUUUACCAUCAUUAGCGUCUGUGGAAUGAUUUCUGUUAUCGGUUAUGUACGUGUCAUUUUGUAUCCUCAUGUAUUCGCCGAAUUCACCUAAGAGUUCAUCGACGCCAUGGCGGGUGAGCCGCUGUAUGUGUUCCAUGAGAUCCAUGUGUUUGCCAAAGUCCAUCUGAGCCAAGGCCAAUGAGUCCAUUCGUGCCAAGUUGCUUGAUUCGAACUGCACAACCCUGACAAAAAAAGAAGAAGAAGAAGGUUGCAGAUUAGCACUUUUUAAUAAGACGCUUGCAAUCUACCAUUUACAUGAUGAUCGCACAGAUGUCUACAAUUUAAACAACAUAAUGAUUGGAACUGAUACUUUGAAUAACAGAGAAAAUAAAUCUAUAUAUUUUUUUUAA